GACGAACGCUGGCGGCGUGCUUAACACAUGCAAGUCGUACGGUAAGGCCCUUUCGGGGGUACACGAGUGGCGAACGGGUGAGUAACACGUGAGUAACCUGCCCACAACUUUGGGAUAACGCUAGGAAACUGGUGCUAAUACUGGAUAUGUGCUCCUGCUGCAUGGUGGGGGUUGGAAAGCUCCGGCGGUUGUGGAUGGACUCGCGGCCUAUCAGCUUGUUGGUGGGGUAGUGGCCUACCAAGGCGGCGACGGGUAGCCGGCCUGAGAGGGUGACCGGCCACAUUGGGACUGAGAUACGGCCCAGACUCCUACGGGAGGCAGCAGUGGGGAAGAUUGAACAAUGGGAGCAAGCCUGAUGCAGCAACGCCGCGGGCGGGAGGACGGCCUUCGGGUUGGAAACCGCUUUCAGCAGGGACGAAGCUUUUUGUGACGGUACCUGCAGAAGAAGCACCGGCUAACUACGUG
rnacentral:rRNA from 1 species